rnacentral:piRNA from 1 species
UUGAUCACGAUAACCCUGAAAAUCAGCGC